CCCAGGGGAGCAGCGGGGGUGCCGGAGCCGGACGGCGCCAGCUCUGGGCAUGUGCACCUGCGGGGUGUGUGUGCACCUGCUCCGGGGCGCGCCGGGAAAGGCGGCUUGCGGGGCGCAGGCUGAGCCCUCCCCCAGCCCUGCAGGGCGCCAGAGGCGCGCAGCGGGAGCUCGGCUCGAGGGCCGCGUGUGCCCCCCGCGAGAGGCGGCCGGCUCUGAUUAACGCUCAGAGGCGGUGCGUGUACCUGUUACUGGACAUAUGCUUGUCGUUACAGCCAUCUGCUGCACUGGCACCUGGCCCGCUCCCACGCGCUCGUGCCAAACCCGCACUCGGGAGGCCCAGACCUAAGGGCGGAGAAGUCACAGACUUUACAGAAACCCAUUCAGGAGGCGGACAGGGAUCCUCAGCAGGCCCCAUGCCCGCAGAUGUGACAGCAGUCUGUUGGCCUUCAAAUGGCCGCAGGACAGGCAGUUCUGUCUCGAGGAACUUGGGCAAAUUUACCAGAUGCUUCUUUUGGGGGAUAUUUCAAGGGUCCCACUUGCUGCACUCCAGCACCUUCUUCCCUGAGAUGUCAGCCCAACCUCAGAACAGGCCCUCACCUGGAAUCCUGGAUCUGGGCCCUCAUGGGGUGCAAAUAAACUAUUAUCUUGUGUUUUGA
rnacentral:lncRNA from 12 species